UAUUUUCAGUGAUAAAUUUAUUCCUUCGAAAUCCCAUUUAUUUACAUAGCAAAAAACUUUACAGUACGAGGGUUCAUGAAAUUCGACACUCUCUUUAUCAGCCUUUUUAUUCAACUGAUGCCUUACUUGUAAGUCAAAAGGAGGAUGGACGUCGACUCAUCGGUCGCUGUGGACCAAAACGACGGUACGUUUCGAUGUCCGAUUAACAAUUCUUUUGUUUCGUGUGGACCAACGCCACUCAGAUUUUGGUCCCCCUCGUGGAUGUCAGAAACAUAUUUUCCGCACAUGUCCUUCCAAAGAAGACUUCCAUGUAAUGAUCCGGAAUAAUAAACUCGAGAUUUUUUUAUGAAAGGAAUGGGCAAAAAUAAUAGUACAAAGCGCAACGAAACGCACAAGAUACACGAGUUUCGACGAUCAAAUGCCUAAGUCCACAACGAGAACAAAGCGAUCUUCACUUGAGAGAGGAUGAUG